UACGUAGGGGGGCGAGCGUUUGUCCGGAAUCAUUGGGCGUAAAGCGCGUGUAGGCGGCUCGAUAAGUCUGGUGUGAAAACUGGAGGCUCAACCUCCAGCUGUCAUUGGAUACUGUCGGGCUAGAGUCCGGAAGAGGAGAGUGGAAUUCCUGGUGUAGCGGUGGAAUGCGCAGAUAUCAGGAGGAACACCAAUGGCGAAGGCAGCUCUCUGGUACGUGACUGACGCUGAGACGCGAAAGCGUGGGGAGCGAACAGG
rnacentral:rRNA from 1 species